UUUCAUUCACAUCUCAUAAAUCAUUUUCACACAAUACACACUGUCAUGUAUUCAACUUUAGCACAAAUAAUGGUUAAAAUACUAGCUGGACAACGUAACCACUUUUCUGGGGAAAAAAAGUCCAAAUUCAAUCUAUGGUUGAAUUUAUAUUAAUCUUUAUAUUAAUCUUUAAUCAUAACUUAGCCUUUCUGGCCCCUUGCAAUUCGAAUUUAAGAAGACAAAAAAUAUCCAUCACUGACUUCAAUAUAAACCAUUCCAAUCACUCAUUUUUAUCCUCUUGAGUAAAUGCACCAUCUCAGAUCUAAUUUUCUGCAAAUCUGUGAGAAGGAACUAAGUAUGGUAUUAUCUAUCCUAGGACUAUCUAUCCAUCUAUCAGGCUUUUUUCGUUAGACGUAAGGCUGAGGAAGCAUUUUGCCAAUGCAAUGGUAAUUCUAUUUAUGAGGAAUGCCCAGUCUGAUCUGUCAGGGAAAAAAUAUUAUGGGAGACUUAAAAAUUUAAACAAAUAACUCCUUAUUUUCUUUUUCCAGUUCAUCUUUGAAGGUGGCAGUAUCUACAGGAAAACGAAGUGAAGAUCAUGAAGUGUUCUCUUUGUUCUUCUUUACCCUCAAAUUCCUUGAAGCGGCUCUGGUUUUUCUGAAUAUACCUGUACCCUUGAACAGCAGCCAGAAUCUUCUCAGAAGGUUAAAAGGAAGCUUUAUUUGAGACAAAGUAAAAAGUACCUAUGGAUUCCCCUUCCCUCUGUCCCUAGCUGUACUCUGAAGACACACACAGGGGCCAGAGUGCUCAAACAUAAAGGAUUCAAAGUUACUAUGAACAGGAAAGGAGAAAAAAAUCUAAUCUGUCCAGCCCACACCCUUCUCAGAAAUCCUAAGGUUACUCCAUCUCCCAGAACGAAGAGGAAUCAGAUAUCAAAAAGACCUUAAUGUUAGACAUGAAGACCAACCGCUUCGUAUUACUGAAGGAUGUGUAAGCUUCUAAGUGUAAAGUGAUGUGUCCGAGGUCGCCGAAGUUCCUGUCCAGUGUUAUCUGUACUCAUUGACACGACACUGGGAUCCUUACCCAAGUAAAUUCUUUCUGGAACAGUAUGCUGCCCACGCCAAGCUAACAACCUGCCCUGUUCUUCUGCACUUUGGGCCUUAGCACCUGCCAUUCCUUUUCCCACUGUGGGUUCUUCCCAAGGCUCCAAACCACUCUAAGUAAAACUGCCCAUCUCUCCUUCCUGGCAUCCAUUUAUCACAAUAGAAAAUUAUCUUAGUUACUUAUUUGAUCAGUCAGUCUCCCUUCCACUAGAGCAUAAGUUCUUUGAGGCAGAGACUGUAAUUAUUUUCUUUACCACACCAUGUGGUAAAGAGUCUGCCAUGGCAAAAACAAAGGCAAAUGAGCCAAAUCUCUACCCACCACCCACCAUGAACUCAUGAUCUAACAGGAGAAACAAUAACUGGAGUAAAUAAGUCUCUAAAAAGGCAGAAUUGAAUAAAAAUAAGUAAAAAAAAGUACACAUUAUCGUGUGAAGGAACAGAUAAAAUAAGCGAAAAAGGUACACAUAUCAUGUGAAGGAACAGAUAAAAUAAAUAACUAUAAAGCCAAAGGUUUCUUUGAAGAGGUGGAUUUUUUUUUUAAGCUGGGGUAGGGCUUGGCUUUAACAAAGUUCCCAAAACAGAAAAGUUUCCAGAAAAGGGAACAUCUUGACCAAAACUGUGGAAAGGUCAGGUGUUAUAUUUGGGAAGUAUAUGGCUGGAGUAUGGGAAAUUGAGAGAAUCGAGGGUAAGC
rnacentral:lncRNA from 1 species